rnacentral:ncRNA from 2 species
GAUACCAUCGGAAGCGACGAAAGGCUGGCUGUAUCUGGGCACUUAGCCACCCUGGAGCGAGUAGUGCAACCGACCGUACAUAAA